rnacentral:tRNA from 1 species
GCCGGAGUGGCGAAAUUGGCAGACGCGCCAGACUUAGGAUCUGGUAUGGCGACAUGUGCAGGUUCAAGUCCUGUCUCCGGCA